AAUUUUAGCCACUGUUAAGAAAGUUAUAAAGAAACAAAAUUGUUAAGUGGAGGAACUUUUUAACUAAACUGUAAAAUAUAAUCACAGCAUCAGCGGUGGGCGGAUCUUCCAUGUAUUGCACGUCAGUUAUGGGAGGUUCUUCCAGCUCCAUAGAUAAACAGCUGCAACUGUUUACCUUAUGGCAUUCAUAUCUGGUUCCAUAAAAUCUGAGAAAAUGAUGAACAAAAGUAAACAGUAAGAAAAUAGAGAAAGGAAAAAGAAAAAGGAGAUCCGUAAAUAAAUAAUCAAAAAUAAAGACAUGCACACUGCAUAUUGUUAGACAUCGGAAGUUGGUAUUCCAUCUAAAAAUUUAAAAUACCCCCAGCCUCACCCACAAAACAUGUACGGUGUUGUCGCGGAUAAAUGUAAGGUAGAGGCGCCGGAACAGUCAAGUUUUCUCUUGCAUACUUCAAAGAGACGUGAAAAUCCUGUUAGCUGUCCAGCAGCACACAAUGCCACUCAAACUGCAGGUUUAAAAAAAUAUCAACGGAUUAAAAUAUUGUUGCUCUGUAUUUCGUUCGGCUAUGGAUUUAAUCAUGGAGAUUGCAAAAUUCUUCUGUUUGUUGGUGAUGCCUUGAACAGUUUGGUUAGGGAAAAGCGUCUCUCUUUGUACUGAAGAAAUUCCAGACAUAAAAAGGCCUGUUAUUUGGGAAAGCAAUAAUAAUGAAUAUAAUUGUGAUACAACCUGCGGUAAUGCCACCAACUUUGCAAUUACUCAUGCUGGUAACAUUUCUACUCUUUGGAUCAGGAAUGUAUCAUGGGAGUUUUCGACAUGGAUAUAUUUCGAUGCUAACUUUAACUUUGGUGUAAUUGAUUUACAGAUAAAUGUGAAACCAAAGAUUGAGAUCAUGAAUGAAACAGAUUGUAUAUACAAUGUAACAGCAC
rnacentral:misc_RNA from 1 species